AUACGUAGGGGGCGAGCGUUGUCCGGAAUUACUGGGCGUAAAGGGCGUCUAGGUGGCCUCUUGCGUGUAAGGUUAAAGGCGUCGGCUCAACCGACGACGUGCCUUGCAAACGGGGAGGCUUGAGAACAGGAGAGGGAUGCGGAAUUCCCGGUGGAGCGGUGAAAUGCGUAGAGAUCAGGAAGAACACCAGAGGCGAAGGCGGCAUCCUGGCCUGGAUCUGACACUGAAGCGCGAAAGCGUGGGGAGCGAACGGGAUUAGAUACCCCGGUAGUCCACGCCGUAAACGAUGGGUACUAGGUGUGGGAGGUAUCGACCCCUUCCGUGCCGGAGCUAACGCACUAAGUACCCCGCCUGGGGAGUACGGCCGCAAGGCUGAA
rnacentral:rRNA from 1 species